rnacentral:rRNA from 1 species
GCGGGCCUACGGGACGCAGCAGUGGGGGAUAUUGCACAAUGGGGGAAACCCUGAUGCAGCGACGCCGCGUGGGUGAAGAAGCGCCUCGGCGCGUAAAGCCCUGUCAGCAGGGAAGAAAAUGACGGUACCUGAAGAAGAAGCCCCGGCUAACUACGUGCCAGCAGCCGCGGUAAUACGUAGGGGGCAAGCGUUGUCCGGAUUUACUGGGUGUAAAGGGGGCGCAGACGGCGAUGCAAGCCAGGAGUGAAAGCCCGGGGCACAACCCCGGGACUGCUCUUGGAACUGCGUGGCUAGAGUGCAGGAGG